CCUUUGGUGGUGGGGGAGUAGCCGGGCUAACGCCCCGGGGUAAUACCGCAUACGGUUCUCGAGGGGAGCCCUUGGGAAAGAAACCUCCGGGGCACAGAGAGGGGCUCGCGGCCUAUCAGCUAGUUGGGGGGGUAAUGGCCCACCAAGGCGACGACGGGUAGCUGGUCUGAGAGGAUGGCCAGCCACAUUGGGACUGAGAGACGGCCCAG
rnacentral:rRNA from 1 species